CGCGAAUCGCCCUUCGGGGUGCCCAGGCGCGAAAACUUUACAAUGCGGGAAACCGUGAUAAGGGAACUCCGAGUGCCCGUAAAAUCGGGCUGUCCAUCUGUUUAAAUAACAGGUGAAGAAAGGGCCGGGCAAGACCGGUGCCAGCCGCCGCGGUAAUACCGGCGGCUCGAGUGGUGGCCACUAUUACUGGGCUUAAAGCGUUCGUAGCUGGUCUGUUAAGUCUCUGGGGAAAUCUACUGGCUUAACCAAUAGGCGUUUCAGGGAUACUGGCAGACUAGGGACCGGGAGAGGUGAGGGGUACUCCAGGGGUAGGAGUGAAAUCCUGUAAUCCUUGGGGGACCACCUGUGGCGAAGGCGCCUCACCAGAACGGCUCCGACAGUGAGGGACGAAAGCUGGGGGAGCAAACCGGAUUAGAUACCCGGGUAGUCCCAGCCGUAAACGAUGCGCGUUAGGUGUAUCGGUGACCACGAGUCACCGAGGUGCCGAAGAGAAAUCGUGAAACGUGCCGCCUGGGAAGUACGGUCGCAAGGCUGAAACUUAAAGGAAUUGGCGGGGGAGCAC
rnacentral:rRNA from 1 species